rnacentral:rRNA from 1 species
UACGUAGGGAGCAAGCGUUGUUCGGAUUUACUGGGCGUAAAGGGCGCGUAGGCGGCAAUUCAAGUCAUCUGUGAAAUCUCCGGGCUUAACCCGGAAAGGUCAGCCGAUACUGCGGGGCUAGAGUGCAGAAGGGGCAACUGGAAUUCUCGGUGUAGCGGUGAAAUGCGUAGAUAUCGAGAGGAACACCUGCGGCGAAGGCGGGUUGCUGGGCUGACACUGACGCUGAGGCGCGAAAGCUAGGGGAGCGAACGGG